CUAAACAUGGCCAGCUGCAUGAGCACUGCAGACUCCGAGCUGUCAGCGGAAAAGACUGCAUGAACUUUUGGUGGACACUGGAGCCACGUAUGGGCCUCUGAGUUGUGGACUAAGAUACUGAGAGAAGAAACAGUGUCUGCCCUUGUGAUCUGAGGGGGAGAAAGCAUUGCUAGCAUCUAUGGAGGACUGAGAACAGAGCCUGCUACAACUGGUGUUCUCUCCAGCUAUGGAAGAUGCAACGUCUGGGUUCCUGCUCUUCUUCCCACCUGACCCGCCACACGUCACUCUACUGCACAGACUGGUAUCAUGAUUCUUUAAGGUAAAACACAGACAGUCAUUCUAGGAAUAUGUAUGUGGCACCUGAGCGUUUGGCAGCUGCUACUGCUGAACAAUUUAUAACGAUAUAUGAUGUCGGAUGAAACGAUUUCACACAUUUCUCUUUCUCUCCAUGUUGAGCACCAGAAAGAAGUAGGGGCGUGGUUAAACAUUCCCUUCAGGCAACUGAUUGGGCUCCUACCAGCGUGCAGUUUGAAGUGUUACCAUGGCCGGGAAAGUACUGAUCAUCAUUAAUCAGCAGAAGGUCCACGGAGGUGGGAAUCCUUUCAUGUGUUCCACUUACAUUUAAGGUUAGUAAAGAUAAAAUAGCAAUUUGCCAAGGAACGUGUCUUUCCUGGGCUGUGUUAUUUUCCGCAGGAACAACCAAUGUGUCCUCCAAUAACAAGCAAAGCGUUCUAACAAACCUAAACUACAGCGCGUGGAAGACACAUUAUAGUUUUGGGACUAAAUGGCUGCUGUGACAACUACAUGGUGGGUACGUUGAUCUCACGCAACCUUUGAGGGACCUCGGGAAAAUAUCAGGUAUGAUAAAGUUGAAUAAGAUUUUGAUUUGGAUUCAGGAUUCGAGGAAAUUUUUAUUUUCUUUCUUCCUACUUCACCAAAGAUUACCCUAUGGAGUUGAAAUUACUAUUAUUGACAGCUUCUUAUGUAAUGAUGGGUGUGGAGCAGAACCCGAUAUUCUGCAGAACAGAGUUAUUCCUUUAAACUGGAUUUAAUGGAAGACAGGUGAACAUAAACAGGAUCCAAAUAGAGGUAAGGCAGACAUCCAAACAAGCUGGACGGGAACUGGCAAACAGACUGGGCAGAGUAAACUGAAACAGGUAAUCCAAAACAGAAUCAAGGUGCCGGGGCUCUUACCAAAACAGAGAGAGUAACCGAGGAGGAACAGGAGCAUGGGCAUGUGAGUGUGACGGACCAACAAAUAACUGAGGAGCAAGUGAGGCUUAAAUAAAACAGGCGAACAGAGGGAACUAAUUAACCAUAGGACGGUGGAAGCAAUAACAAUGCUGACAGAAGAAUAAACCUAAGACUGAGGAUAACACAAAGCACAGAACACAGAUAAGGACUAAUACAAAGACCGGAAAACUUAAAACCAUACACAGACUAAACAGGAACCUAAAACAAGAUAGAACCUACAAAAGAAAUAAAACCAGAGGCAGGAGAGAACAAACUUCACCAAACAAUAAACCUAGACAAAAACAGAACGUUACAUUUUACUGUUGUUUCUGGAAUAAAACUAGUUUGAUUCCAAAAGGGGGAUGUACAUAUCAGUAAAUGUUAGA